rnacentral:rRNA from 1 species
UACGGAGGGUGCAAGCGUUAAUCGGAAUUACUGGGCGUAAAGCGCACGCAGGUGGCUGAGUCAGUCGAUUGUGAAAGCCCUGGGCUUAACCUGGGAAUUGCAGUCGAUACUACUCAGCUAGAGUAUGGGAGAGGGUAGUGGAAUUCCCGGUGUAGCGGUGAAAUGCGUAGAUAUCGGGAGGAACAUCAGUGGCGAAGGCGGCUACCUGGCCCAAUACUGACAC